rnacentral:tRNA from 1 species
GCGCCCUUAGCCCAGCUGGAUAGAGCAUCGGAUUUCUAAUCCGCAGGUCGCAGGUUCGAGUCCUGCAGGGCGCGCCA